CAUGUUGAAACUUUGGUUUCCGUAAGAUUACCGAAGUUAAGCGACGUUGAGCCUGGUCAGUAACUAGAUGGGUGACCGCUUGGGCAUACCAGAUGCUAUA